rnacentral:rRNA from 1 species
AGAAAUUUACGCUAAUACCGCAUACGAUCUAAGGAUGAAAGCGGGGGAUCGCAAGACCUCUCGCGAUUGGAGCGGCUGAUAUCAUAUUAGGUUGUUGGUGAGGUAAAAGCUCACCAAGCCGACGAUCUGUAGCUGGUUUGAGAGAACGACCAGCCACACUGGGACUGAGACACGGCCCAUACUCCUACGGGAGGCAGCAGUGGGGAAUUUUGGACAAUGGGCGAAAGCCUGAUCCAGCAAUGCCGCGUGCAGGAAGAAGGCCUUCGGGUUGUAAACUGCUUUUGUACGGAACGAAACGGCUCUUUCUAAUAAAGAGGGCUAAUGACGGUACCGUAAGAAUAAGCACCGGCUAACUACGUGCCAGCAGCCGCGGUAAUACGUAGGGUGCGAGCGUUAAUCGGAAUUACUGGGCGUAAAGCGUGCGCAGGCGGUUAUAUAAGACAGUUGUGAAAUCCCCGGGCUCAACCUGGGAAUUGCAUCUGUGACUGUAUAGCUAGAGUACGGUAGAGGGGGAUGGAAUUCCGCGUGUAGCAGUGAAAUGCGUAGAUAUGCGGAGGAACACCGAUGGCGAAGGCAAUCCCCUGGACCUGUACUGACGCUCAUGCACGAAAGCGUGGGGAGCAAACAGGAUUAGAUACCCUGGUAGUCCACGCCCUAAACGAUGUCAACUGGUUGUUGGGUGCAUUACUACUCAGUAACGAAGCU